CCGAAAAGCAGGCAUCUCUCUCCCCUCAGAAGGGACGCUCUGGGAGGGUUUGCCAUAGGAGACACUGUCUCCAGAAAGUUCAGCGGGGAAUGGGGGAGCCCUCCGUGCGGAAAAGUAAAGGAGGGGACCAGAGAUACGGAGCUGGAAGGGACAUCCUCCCUCAAUUUUACAGAUUUGACUAGACGGUGUGGCCAAUCUGCCGACGCUGAAUAGGAGCCUACUGCGAGCCCGGGGGCGGGGCAGCACGGGGAUGUCCAGCACGCAUGCUCGGACGUCUGAGAGACGGUGGCAGCUGCUGACAGAAGCGGCGGAGGCGGCCCCGGGCUCACGGAGAGCUCCGCCGCCGGCCUCGCCGCACGCGGGGAGAAGGAGCCCCCGACGGCCCCAGGCGCGGGUCGUGGGCGGGGGGAGCCCUGAACCGAGGCCGGCAGUCUCCAGCUGGGAGCGCGAGUCUGAGGCUGGAGAGAGGCCUGAGGGCCUGGGUCCGGCGGGAGGAGGGGCUUUCCCGCCGUGUAGACUCUGAGCCGGAGGGGCCUCGGAGCCCUGCCCCUUUACGUGACAGAUGGGGAAACUGAGGCACGGGAGGGGCCCCUCAUGGACUCAGAGCCUUGCUCCCUCAAAUUAUAGAUGGAGAAACUGAGGCCCAGAGGCCAAUAAGUCCACCUGCCUCACCAGAUGAGGAAACUGAGGCACAGGUUAAUGGACACAGGAUCAUGGAAUUAGAGUUGCAAGGGGCCUCAAAAGCCAUUGAGCCCCACCUCAUUUUACAGAUGAGGAAACUGAGGCCCUAAGAGUGUAACUGUCAUAAGGUCGUAAAUUUUAAAGCUGGAAGGAACCUGAGAGAACACCCAUCUAGUACCCCCCCACACACCCCCACACUUUACAAUGAGGAAACUGAGGCCCCGGAAGGGAACUGGCUAUUUCAUGGCUAUGUAGGUACUAAAUGGGAGAGUCAGAAUGCAAACCCUGGUCCUCUUGCUGUUUUCCUCUGCACAGUGGUGGUUAACCUGGUAUUAGGAUAACGAAUGUGUGUUAAAUCCAGAUUUAUUUCCUGGGGAGGUCUGUUGUUUUGAAAGUGAUGACUGCUCAACGAUGGUCAUAGAUGUAGACCUAGAAGAAACUUUAGAGGCCGAUGAGUCCCAACCUCCUUCUUUUACAGAUGAGGAAACUAAGGUCCAGAGAGGGGGAGUAACUGGCCUAGGGUCACACUGGUAGUAAGUGGCAGAGCAAGGAUUUCAGUGCAAAUUCUGUGAUGUCAAAUCUAGCAUCCUUUCUAUCACGUACACCAGGCUACCACCUUUUGGUAUGUCAGCGUUUGGGAAUGGUUUAGAAAACAUUGCUUCCCUUUACCUAAAGGUUUAAGGCUGAUUGAAAGAACUUGGGGCAGAGGGGUCUUUAUCCCAGAGGAGAGAUGACCUAGAGAGGUCUUGGCUCUGUCACCUAUUACCUGUGUGACUUUAGACGAGUCAUUUUAUGUCUUUGGGCUUCGGUUUCCUCAUCUGUAAAACAGGGAGGUUGGACUAGAUGGACUCUGAGGUCACUUCUAGCUGAAAAUAUAUGAUUCUCUGAAGGUAGGACGGUUAGUUGUCUUCAGGUACUUGAAAAUCUGCCACUUUGAACAUCGAUUUGUUCCUGUGGCCAGAGAACAGAAAAAGGAGCCAGAGUGAGAUUACAGAGACAGAUGCAGGCUUGAUGAGAGAAAAUCCUCAACGGUGCGUUGCAGAGUUGGAAUGAGCUCUUCAUAGUCAUCCACAACUGGAAUAUGCCGUCUCCAUAGGUGGCAUGUUUUCCCAUGGGAGCUCUUCAAGCCAAGAUGGAUGACUGCUUCUUGAGGAUGUCGUAGUGGAGAUUUCUAUGCUUUGUGUACUUGUUCAUUUAAACUCUGAUACAGUCAUGAAAUACUUAAGUGCUUGUUAUUUGUAUGUCCCGUAGUUACCACAGUACACCUCUAGUUAGGAUAUCUGAGGUAGAAGUGAGUGCUGAACGAUUGAAGAAUAUUGCUGAUGUCAGAGACACAGCUUUGUGGCAAUUAUGAUAUCAGCAGCACUCAGUAAAAGUAUGAUUGCACUGACCCAGUCUCUUCUACCACCAAGACAAUUACUCUGCCUCGUAUUUCCCCUCCCGGAGGCCUUUCCUAGCUCUUGCUUUUCAUAACAGCUGACCUGUUUAAAUACAAAAGUAGAAAACCUACAGCAUAUGCAUUCCCCUGAAAACCCAGCAGAAAGAGAAUACAGUAUGAUAGGUCUCAACAUUUAGAUCUUUCAUAAUUCCUUACGUAAGUUAUAUUAGUCUAUUGAAUGAGAAAAGGUAAAAGAUCACUGUGGAUUUAGCAAUGCUUUUAAAGCUUAUCACAUCUAAAUACAUUUAAAAAUAAUACAUGAAUGAGAAAUUUUGUAUCCAGUAUUUUAUAUAUGGAUUUGAGACCUGUUGCAAAAACUUCAACCAUGUGGAUGUGGGCCAUAGGUUGGGAAACACAUGUUGACUUUAUAUUUUAACUACUCACUGAAAGAUAACAUAGUAUUUCAUAAUCAUUUCUGCUGAGUACCCUGGAGGCAAAUCUCUUAUCAAACUAAGGAAUUAAGAGAAUUCUCAGCAGUUGCGGAUUUUAGAGUCAUGUGAUGAUUUGGCUGAAAGGUUUUUUUUUUAAAUAAAUCUUUUGCUUUUAAUAAAGAUCUGCCCAUGAUUUAUUUCAGAAAAGAAACUUAAGUUCCUCCCCACCUUUAAGAAACUCAAAGUCUGAAGAAAGAAUGUGGCCACACUUUGAAAUUUGAGGGAGAUGGAGACAAGAAUUGAGUAUUAGGAAGAGCUCAAGCUGGAACAUGUUUGAGAAACAGUACCCUGCUUUCAGUGAUCUCUUGUUGCUACUCAGCUGCCGAUAUUUAACACCAAUAUUCUCCAGAUAACGCUUUAUAGCUUUGAGUAAUGGAAUAAAAGAAUGUUACCCUUUUUGGAAGAAUUAAAAUGACAGCCUAAAAGUCAGUGGAAUGACAAUUGGUAGAUGUAAAUAGGAUGUAGCAUGUAACCAAAGAUGACUUACGUAAAAUCAGUAGCAUGAAAGCGUUAUCAAGAAUUUGGUUAAAAAAGGAGAACAAGAAAAACCAACAGAUGGAUAUGUCAGUGCUACAUUAGUACUACCCUCUUGCCUUCCCCCCAAAGUACUAGAAUACCUUGGUAUUUGGUACAGAUUGACAUCAUAAUGUAGCGAUAGUGUAUUGGACUUGAGUUAGGAAGGCCUGGAGUCAAAUCCCAUCUCAGACACUCAAUAGGAUUGUAGGCAAGUUACUCAACCUUGCUAUUCCUCACUUUCUUCAUUUUCUAAAAUGAGUAGGUUGGAAUCAAUGGCCUCUGAUAUCCCUUCAGUUCUAAAACUAUGAUAUUGUAAAAAACAGAGGAAGACUUCCGGCUUAUUUAAUACAUUUAUGGGAAAAUACGGACAAGAUGAGAAAGCAUUUGCAUUGAUGAUAAUGUAACUCAUAAUGAUGAAGUCACAGAUCUGCCAAAGAGCCGGUGGAAAGACAGGCUAAUACGUGCAUUUUGAAAUAAAGUUAUUCCUAUUACUCCUAAUUCAUAUUAAUUUUGCUAUCUGCUAAGAAAGAAAGAAAGCAAGCCUUUAAGGAAAUGGGCCUGUGCUUCACCUCCACCCCUACCUUUAGGCUAUCCAGAUCCCAUCAGGUCUGCUAAUUAAGUAGAGGGACAAGACUGUCCAUACAAUUUGGAUUUAUAGGAGCCUACUACUCUAAUUUUUCUGAUGAGAUAAAAAAUUACCUGACCUUAUCAUUUGUCUUGUAUGUCCUCUGGGCCUUUCCAUCUACCUUUUUUCUGUGCCCUCCAGACUUUGGGGCAUUGCCAUCUGAGCUAAUGCACCCUAAGGAUCACUGGGCAUUUCUGUCUAUCCUACAGCUGAACUUUUUUAUGUCUUUCCUCUUCUAAAGUGUGAACUUCUUGAGA